CUGCAGUAGUAAUUAGCUAUAUCCAGAGUAAAAGAAAGAAGAGUAAGGAUAUAAACUUUCCAGCAUACGUGAAGGUUCCAAGGUCAUAAAGGGCCUGGCUGGUGCGGGAAGACCAGUGUGGCUAGAGAAUUGUGAGCAAGAGUUGCAUAAAGUAUAGCCUGGGCUCUCUGGCCACAGGUUAUUUAAUCAGGGAGUCAGCUGAAUCAAACUGAGUCAAUUGAGCUGUGUUUUCACUACUUGGAGUUAGUGAUAUAGAGAAUUUAGCCAGUUUGUUUUGGGUUCUGAAGAUAUAAGUUCAUGUAGAAAUUGAAGUUCCUGUAAAGUUAGGAAAAGAGGCAGCAUCCUGGGCACCAGAGCCCUGUGUAAACCUUUGUUAAGAGGAACGGAAUCUAAGAUAUAUCUGCGGAGAGAACUGGAAGUGGAACAAACUUGGAGAAAAGAGCAGCCAAGAGGUGUGGCGUUCCAGAAAGACAGAGUAGCUGCCGCCUGAUUUUCCAGUAUAAGAGACUGAGGUAUGAAGAGAUGAAGUAAUUUAUCCCAAAUGAGACAGCUGCUGCGCUGACAUGCUCUUGAAUUCAAUAUCUCCAAUCACAAUCUUCUGAUUCUCCUCCUUCCUGACUGCACAAGAUAGAAGUACUCCAUGUGGGAUCUCAAGUUAUACUCACAGCAACCUUAGGAUGAAGGAACUGUUAUUAUUCUCAUUUUACUGAUGAGAAAACUGAGGAUAAUGACCUGAUGAAGGUCAUACAACUACUAAAUGGAGCUGAUGGGAUUCCAACCUAGGUGUGCAUGACUCUAGAGUCCAUGCUCUUAACCACCAUACAUUGUCCAAGUAUAUUUGAUGGUUUUAAUCAUUAACAAUUUCAUAGGUGCAAAAUAAUCUAAUUGUUCUAACUUGCAUGUCUUUGCUUACUGGUAAGAUUGAAUAUUUUUUUCAGCUGAUUUUUAACCAUGGAAAUUAUUUCUCAAAUUAUCCUGUUGAUAUAUUUGUACUUUUUUUUUUUAUUGGAGUGUUCAUGCCUUUUUGAAUGGAUAUUAAAGACAAUAAACCAAAAUUAAAACAUUUU
rnacentral:lncRNA from 1 species